AACCCUGUAGUUGAAACUUCGUUCCCUCCUGAGUGGAUCCUGAGUACGGCGGGACACGUGAAAUCCCGUCGGAAGCAGGGAGGACCAUCUCCCAAGGCUAAAUACUCCCUAGUGACCGAUAGUGAACCAGUACCGUGAGGGAAAGGUGAAAAGCACCCCGGGAGGGGAGUGAAAGAGAACCUGAAACCGUGUGCCUACAAGUAGUUAGAGCCCGUUAAUGGGUGAUAGCGUGCCUUUUGUAGAAUGAACCGGCGAGUUACGAUUUCAUGCAAGGUUAAGCUGAUGAGGCGGAGCCGCAGCGAAAGCGAGUCUGAAUAGGGCGAAAGAGUAUGAGGUCGUAGACCCGAAACCAGGUGAUCUACCCAUGUCCAGGGUGAAGGUAAGGUAACACUUACUGGAGGCCCGAACCCACGCACGUUGAAAAGUGCGGGGAUGAGGUGUGGGUAGCGGAGAAAUUCCAAUCGAACUUGGAGAUAGCUGGUUCUCUCCGAAAUAGCUUUAGGGCUAGCCUCAAGAUGAGAGUAUUGGAGGUAGAGCACUGUUUGGACUAGGGGCCCUCAUCGGGUUACCGAAUUCAGACAAACUCCGAAUGCCAAAUACUUAUGCUUGGGAGUCAGACUGCGAGUGAUAAGAUCCGUAGUCAAAAGGGAAACAGCCCAGACCACCAGCUAAGGUCCCAAAGUAUACGUUAAGUGGAAAAGGAUGUGGAGUUGCUUAGACAACCAGGAUGUUGGCUUAGAAGCAGCCACCAUUUAAAGAGUGCGUAAUAGCUCACUGGUCGAGUGACUCUGCGCCGAAAAUGUACCGGGGCUAAACGUAUCACCGAAGCUGUGGAUGGACAUGUUGAUGCAUAUUUUCCUUUGGAAAAAUGCCGUGUCCGUGGUAGGAGAGCGUUCUAAGGGCGUUGAAGCUAGACCGAAAGGACUGGUGGAGCGCUUAGAAGUGAGAAUGCCGGUAUGAGUAGCGAAAGAAGGGUGAGAAUCCCUUCCACCGAAUGCCUAAGGUUUCCUGAGGAAGGCUCGUCCGCUCAGGGUUAGUCGGGACCUAAGCCGAGGCCGAAAGGCGUAGGCGAUGGACAACAGGUUGAUAUUCCUGUACCACCUCUUCACCGUUUGAACGAUGGGGGGACGCAGGAGGAUAGGGUAAGCGCGCUGCUGGUUAUGCGCGUCCAAGCAGUUAGGCUGGUUACGAGGCAAAUCCCGUAACCGUGAAGGCGGAGCUGUGAUGGCGAGGGAAAUAUAGUACCGAAGUUCCUGAUUCCACACUGCCAAGAAAAUCCUCUAGUGAGGUGAAAGGUGCCCGUACCGCAAACCGACACAGGUAGGCGAGGAGAGAAUCCUAAGGUGAGCGAGAGAACUCUCGUUAAGGAACUCGGCAAAAUGACCCCGUAACUUCGGGAGAAGGGGUGCUCUGGUAGGGUGCAAGCCCGAGAGAGCCGCAGUGAAUAGGCCCAGGCGACUGUUUAGCAAAAACACAGGUCUCUGCGAAGCCGCAAGGCGAAGUAUAGGGGCUGACGCCUGCCCGGUGCUGGAAGGUUAAGAGGAGGGGUUAGCGUAAGCGAAGCUCUGAAUUGAAGCCCCAGUAAACGGCGGCCGUAACUAUAACGGUCCUAAGGUAGCGAAAUUCCUUGUCAGGUAAGUUCUGACCCGCACGAAAGGCGUAACGAUCUGGGCACUGUCUCAACGAGAGACUCGGUGAAAUUAUAGUACCUGUGAAGAUGCAGGUUACCCGCGACAGGACGGAAAGACCCCGUGGAGCUUUACUGCAGCUUGAUAUUGAAUUUUGGUACAGCUUGUACAGGAUAGGUAGGAGCCUUUGAAGCCGGAGCGCCAGCUUCGGUGGAGGCGUCGGUGGGAUACUACCCUGGCUGUAUUGAAAUUCUAACCCGCACCCCUUAUCGGGGUGGGAGACAGUGUCAGGCAGGCAGUUUGACUGGGGCGGUCGCCUCCUAAAGAGUAACGGAGGCGCCCAAAGGUUCCCUCAGAAUGGUUGGAAAUCAUUCGCAGAGUGUAAAGGCACAAGGGAGCUUGACUGCGAGACCUACAAGUCGAGCAGGGACGAAAGUCGGGCUUAGUGAUCCGGUGGUUCCGCAUGGAAGGGCCAUCGCUCAACGGAUAAAAGCUACCCCGGGGAUAACAGGCUUAUCUCCCCCAAGAGUCCACAUCGACGGGGAGGUUUGGCACCUCGAUGUCGGCUCAUCGCAUCCUGGGGCUGUAGUCGGUCCCAAGGGUUGGGCUGUUCGCCCAUUAAAGCGGUACGCGAGCUGGGUUCAGAACGUCGUGAGACAGUUCGGUCCCUAUCCGUCGUGGGCGUAGGAAAUUUGAGAGGAGCUGUCCUUAGUACGAGAGGACCGGGAUGGACGCACCGCUGGUGUACCAGUUGUCUUGCCAAAGGCAUCGCUGGGUAGCUAUGUGCGGAAGGGAUAAGUGCUGAAAGCAUCUAAGCAUGAAGCCCCCCUCAAGAUGAGAUUUCCCAUAGCGCAAGCUAGUAAGAUCCCUGAAAGAUGAUCAGGUUGAUAGGUUCGAGGUGGAAGUGUGGCGACACAUGGAGCUGACGAAUACUAAUCGAUCGAGGACUUAACCAA
rnacentral:rRNA from 2 species